AAGCUGUCGUCCUUAUUAACAGCCUAUCAUUUGGUCGUGGACUGUUUUAAGGACUAAUCGAUAAAUCCUCUCUUUAUCGAAUCUAAAUAGUCCUAAGGACUUCAUCAUAACAAUGGAGUUCAUUAGAAGAUGAAAGCUUAUGAUGAAAAUACCAAAUAUAUUUUAUUUAUUAACAAAUCAAUUACAAUACUUGGUUGCUCAACCGUCAAUAGCUUGACGAUUGAUUUUUUGGGACACAUUUCCCAACAACUCCCACUUGUCCUAAAGCCACUCGGCACAGUAUCUAAUACCCAUCUU
rnacentral:lncRNA from 1 species